rnacentral:rRNA from 1 species
CGAGUGAAGCGGCAAAAGCUCAAAUUUGAAAUCUAGCACCUUCGGUGUUCGAGUUGUAAUUUGAAGAUGGUAACCUUGGGUUUGGCUCUUGUCUAUGUUCCUUGGAACAGGACGUCAUAGAGGGUGAGAAUCCCGUCUGAUGAGAUGCCCAUUCCUAUGUAAGGUGCUAUCGAAGAGUCGAGUUGUUUGGGAAUGCAGCUCUAAGUGGGUGGUAAAUUCCAUCUAAAGCUAAAUAUUGGCGAGAGACCGAUAGCGAACAAGUACAGUGAUGGAAAGAUGAAAAGAACUUUGAAAAGAGAGUGAAAAAGUACGUGAAAUUGUUGAAAGGGAAGGGCAUUAGAUCAGACUUGGUGUUUUACGAUUAUCUUCUCUUCUUGAGUUGUGCACUCGUAUUUCACUGGGCCAGCAUCGAUUCGGAUGGCAAGAUAAUGGCAGUUGAAUGUGGCUUCACUUCGGUGGAGUGUUAUAGCUUCUGCUGAUAUUGCCUGUCUGGAUCGAGGGCUGCGUCUUUUGACUAGGAUGCUGGCGUAAUGAUCUAAUGCCG